rnacentral:ncRNA from 1 species
AAGAUUGAAGCAACCAGGAAAGUUCAGGUGCAGUGAUGGGGCGGUUCACAAGUGACAUGGUGGUCAGGCUGCUGAAUGGCAGACAGAGUGAAUGCAGAAUAAACAAGACCUGACAAAACAGUUGAAGAAACCAGGAACAAUAAGUCAAUGAAGCAAAGUGUUCUGCACUAUUUGAAGAAAGCAGGCAGGAUGAACCAAACAUCACUUCAAACCAAUCUUCUAUUUGAAACAGAAAGGAAGUGUUUCAAUGGUAUAUUCAAUUCUUGAAGCUA